CAGGAACUUUGAAAGCGCUCUCAUCAGCCAGCUCUGCAACCUCUAUGGCACCCAAAAGACACGUACCACCCCCUAUCACCCUGAAGGAAAUGGUCAGUGUGAACGCUUUAACAGGACGCUCCACGACCUGCUAAGAACUCUGCCCCUCGAGAAGAAACGGAACUGGUCCAAAUACCUCCCACAAGUCACAUUCGCCUACAAUACUACCAUCCAUCAGUCCACCGGUGAGUCUCCACAUCUCCUUAUGUUUGGGCAGGAACCGUAUCUUCCCAUCGACUUCCUCCUUGGCCGGGUUCCCGAGGCCAGUGAGGGUAGAGUGGAGGACUGGGUUCAGGAGCACCGGAAGAGACUACAGGUGGCGUUUGAGGGGGCACAACAACGGCUGAAAGCGGCAGCGGCCCGCCGGAAGGAGCGGCAUGAUGCUGGGGUAAAAUCCUCUGAUCUACAAGAGAAGCAGUUUGUAUAUCUCCACGACCACAGCAGACGGGGCCGCUCGAAGAUCCAGGAUGUGUGGAGCCCAGAAAUCCAUGUGGUGGUGCAAGCCCCAAGUUCUGGUGGACCAGUCUACUCUGUGGCACCCAUUGGAAACCCCCAGAGGGUAAGAACUGUUCAUCGCUCCAUGUUGAAACCUGUGCCCGACCACCUCUGCCCUCAGAGCCCAAACACGCAGCCUCCCGAGGUCCAGCGCGAGACGGAGGAGAAUGAGGAAGAGAGUUUCUAUGUGGUCACCAGGCCACCCCUUGGAGAGGCAACCACUUCCACUGAGCCCUUACAAGCAGGUACCCCCCUUCAUUCUAAUAACCCGCCUGUCUCUGAGCCCUCAGGAGGUUCUUCAAGUCAGCCUCCGCAUCAGCUCCCAGAAGGCCCUAGGAGGACAACCCGGGCCACAGCGGGUCAGCACCCGAACAGGCACCAUCUCCCUGUCACGGCAUCUCAUAGGUCAGGUGGGGCUGCUGCCUCCCGGGUCAGUGGUGCCAGUAGUAUGGUGAGUGCUUAUUUUAGGCCCUGGGACUAGCCAUGGCAUCACCGGGACGGUGAUGACAAACUGGGGAC
rnacentral:lncRNA from 1 species